rnacentral:rRNA from 1 species
GAUGAACGCUGGCGGCGUGCCUAAUACAUGCAAGUCGAGCGAACAGACGAGGAGCUUGCUCCUCUGACGUUAGCGGCGGACGGGUGAGUAACACGUGGAUAACCUACCUAUAAGACUGGGAUAACUUCGGGAAACCGGAGCUAAUACCGGAUAAUAUAUUGAACCGCAUGGUUCAAUAGUGAAAGACGGUUUUGCUGUCACUUAUAGAUGGAUCCGCGCCGCAUUAGCUAGUUGGUAAGGUAACGGCUUACCAAGGCAACGAUGCGUAGCCGACCUGAGAGGGUGAUCGGCCACACUGGAACUGUACCACGGUCCAGACUCCGACGGGAGGCAGCAGUAGGGAAUCUUCCGCAAUGGGCGAAAGCCUGACGGAGCAACGCCGCGUGAGUGAUGAAGGUCUUCGGAUCGUAAAACUCUGUUAUUAGGGAAGAACAAAUGUGUAAGUAACUAUGCACGUCUUGACGGUACCUAAUCAGAAAGCCACGGCUAACUACGUG